GAUGAACGCUGGCGGCGUGCCUAAUACAUGCAAGUCGAGCGAAUGGAUUAAGAGCUUGCUCUUAUGAAGUUAGCGGCGGACGGGUGAGUAACACGUGGGUAACCUGCCCAUAAGACUGGGAUAACUCCGGGAAACCGGGGCUAAUACCGGAUAACAUUUUGAACCGCAUGGUUCGAAAUUGAAAGGCGGCUUCGGCUGUCACUUAUGGAUGGACCCGCGUCGCAUUAGCUAGUUGGUGAGGUAACGGCUCUCCAAGGCAACGAUGCGUAGCCGACCUGAGAGGGUGGUCGGCCACACUGGGACUGGAACACGGCCCAGACUCCUACGGGAGGCAGCAGUAGGGAAUCUUCCGCAGUGGACGAAAGUCUGACGGAGCAACGCCGCGUGAGUGAUGAAGGCUUUCGGGUCGUAAAACUCUGUUGUUAGGGAAGAACAAGUGCUAGUUGAAUAAGCUGGCACCUUGACGGUACCUAACCAGAAAGCCACGGCUAACUACGUGCCAGCCGCCGCAGUAA
rnacentral:rRNA from 1 species